rnacentral:lncRNA from 1 species
CUUUCAGGAAGAUAAGCAGCCCAGACUUGAGUUUCUAGAUGUAUACAACCAGGUGCAUGUCCAAGGCACAGAGGGUGGUAUUUAUAACCCAUAGUAACAUUAAAUGCAGUGUCUUAUUCUCCUGGUUGGGCAGGGCAACAGUUAUCUGUGGCUCCAGGCAUCCACACACUAUUGUUAGUGUAGAUUUCUGCAGAAGCAUCUAUCCAGGUGAGAGGUUGAAUAAGUGGAGGAAAAGGCACAUAAGCCCAAUAAGAAUAUUUAUGUGUAGCAGGUAAAUCAGUGUGAGAGGAAACUGGUGAGACAGAAAGUAUAAGGAGGAGAAUCAUUAAAUAAAACUUAUUGUAAGUGAGAUUCUGAAGAAGGAAGAGAAGAACAGUGUUAAGUAUCCUGGCAAAGGAGCAUUAGGGUUACAGAUAGAAUUGAAGUUGCUCGUCAGCUGAUUGAAGAUAAGGAGAUUGGCCUGGAUUAUCCAGGUAGGCUCAAUGUAAUCAGGAAGGGCCUUUAAAGUGAGAGAGGGAGGCAGAAGAGGAAGUCAGAGCGAUGUGCUGUGAAAUCUACUACCGUUUGCUGGUUUUGAAAAUGGAGAAAAAGAGUGAGGAACUGAGAAACAUGGAUGGCCUUGGGAACGUGGAAAAGGGUCACUGAAAUGGGACGACAUGAACUCAAGGAGGCUAUUUAUGACCAUGUCAUUUGCAACAUGAAGAAAGCUUAUCUGGAGUGAAAGUAAAUGAGACCAACAGAGAUGAGAGACCCGGAGAAAUCCUGGUUACACUGCUUGAAUCCUGUCAGUCCUAUACUGGAGUCCUGUUAAUACAAAAUAAUAGUAAUAAUCCCUCUGUUUCUUAUGUUUAUGCCAACUUCAACAAAAAGAAACUUGACUAAGAGACAAUAUAAGAAUUUAAUGUGUAAUUAAGAAAGAACUCUCCACCACGGGGAAUGUGAAAGACACAUACUAACAAAAGGCCACAUGAGGACACAGUGAGAAGCUGGAAGUCUACAACCCAGAAGAGAGCCCUCAACAGAACCUAACCAUGCUGGUACCCUGAUCUCAGACAUCCAGCCUCCAGAAGAGUGAAAAAAUAUAAUUCUUAUUUCUAAGCAACCUGGUCUAUGGUAUUUCAUUAUGGCAGCCCAAGCUAAGACAGAUCCCUAUCCUAUUCACCAUGCUGCAGAGCCACAUGAGCCUCCCUUUUGUUCCUCAAGCUCAUCAAAUACCUCCUAGCCUUAGAACUUGCUAUUCCCUCUAACCAGAAUUCUCUUCCAGGUCUUUCCAUCCUGUAAGUCUUGUCCUUUAGAUCGAAAUUCACAUGUGACCUCCCCUGAGAAUGGUCCUCUGAAAACCUAUCUCAAAGAGUGUUCCCAGUUACUCUCUACCUUACCCCCAGGUUAUUAUCUUCCCACCACUUUUCCAUAUUUGUAAUCAUUUGCUUUUGUAUAUGUGUGAUAUGGUUAGGCUUAGUGUCCCUACCCAAAUCUCGUGUUAAAUUGUAAUCCCCAGGGAGAUUACAAUUUAGGGAGAGACCUGGUGGGAAGUGAUUGGAUUAUGGGGGUGGGUUCCCCCAUGCUGUUCUCGUGAUAGUGAGUGAAUUCUCAUAAGAUCUAAUGGUUUUGUAAAUGGUAGUUUUUCCUGUGCUGACUCAUUCUCUCUCCUGCUGCCUUGUGAAGAGGUGCCUUCUGUCAUGACUGUAAGUUUCCUGAAGCUUCCCCAACCAUGGGGAACUGUGAGUCAAUUAAACCUCUUUGCUUUAUAAAUUACCCAGUCUCAGGUAUUUCUUCAUAGCAGUGUAAGAAUGGACUAAUACAAUGUGUAGUUAUUUAUUUAAUAUUUGUCACCACCCCCCAAGCACAUUCACACAAUCAGCCCCUUCAGAUCAGAGAUCCAUACAUUUACCAUUUUAUUGCUAGCAUCUAGCAUGCUUGGCUCAUUAUUAUUGCUCAGUAACUAUUUGUGGAGUAAAUAAAUAAAUGAUCAAUCAAUGAAAAUCAUGUGAUAUAAAUAAGUUUCUUACUUUAAGAAUUCAGUUUAUUGAUAGACUGUAUUGCGUGUCAAAUUGACAUUAAAAAGGAAAGGAUAAUAGUGUAAGAAUUAGGAUAACAAAAGAUGGAAGGGGGGGCAAAUAAAAAUAUGCCAGUGGUUUCCAUAUGAUCUUAAAUAAGUUACUAACAUUCUGGUUACCAUUUCAAAAAUAGGCAUAAAAAUAUUUGCUCAGCCUAUAUCAAAGCGAUUUCAAAACUUGAGUAGGGCCCC